AGGACUUCUUAGCAGUAUAAGCACCCCAGGAUGAAGAACCAGAACUGCAGUGCUUCUGUCUGCUAGGAGAAGAGGUGAAAGGGGUGGACUUGGUAUGAGGGUGCAAGAGAGGCAGCUCCUAAUUGCUACUAGUUGAAGUAGUCAGUAAAAUCUGUUUUGUUGCCCCUUUCCCCACUAUUGCUUUGCCUGGAGGUAGGUUGGGUGUUGCAGCAAAGCAAUGGGCUCAGGAGCCAAAAUCUGUUUCUACUUCCAGGGUGUUUGGUACGUGGCUGGGAACAACCAACAAGCCCUGCUGAGAGUUUGCCUUGAAUGAAUGAAACCCAAUAGAAAGCUGUGAUCGAUUGAUUUCAUGGGACUCCAAAAAGUUGUUACCUCCUUCGCCAGCUUCACGCCAUGCUCAUAGAUCUCAAGAUUAUCCAGAGCUCCAAUUCAAGUGGAAAG
rnacentral:lncRNA from 1 species